UCCCUGGUAGCUCAGUGGGUAAAGAGUCUGCCUGCAAUGCAGCAGACCUGGGUUCAGUUCCUGGGUGGGGAA
rnacentral:tRNA from 1 species